CUUGCCUUGUGUCUGAUUACAUUGAUUUCAAUUUGUGACUCAUUUAGUCUUCAUACCCCCUAAAAAUGUGCUUUAAAAACACACUAUAUGAGGCAGAUAGAGCGCUGGCCGCACCGCAGUACGUAUGCCACGAGGCAGAGGGCGCUGGUGAGCCCACAGAGUGUAUGUGAUACCGCGGCUAAAGAAUAACAGAGUUAGUGGUACCAAAACAAGUCCAGCCGUCCAGUUCCUCUUUAAUAUAUUUCACCAUCAAUUUCUAAAUGGAAGAUUUCGUUUUUAAACCCCUAAAAUCAAACAUUUGUUUUGACACGUCCCUGAUAGUGAUCUCUACUGAGACAGAGAGACUUUCUACACUGAAGAAAGAAAAGGAAGACUUCUACAAACAGAACAUUCAUCUGUUUCUUCAGCGCGCAGACUUCACUCAUAAGUAAAAACAGAAAAGCCAUCUGAGCGUCUCCGCUGGAAUCCGGCGUGGUACUGUAUGAAGCACAUUGGAUAUGAGAUAACUGCAAACUCAGCUUGGGAAGGGCUUACCUUCGCUGGAGGAACUCCUAAAGUCAUCUCCUUUCAUCUCUCUGGUUGCCACAUAAACCAAAGUCUUGGGAAGCGCAUGACGAUGAGUGUGAUGAUGAGGAGCUUUUUCACAGCACAGCAGGUUUGUUGUAAUCCACGCAGUUAUCAUCCAUUUUCUGUGAAUGUAAGUAAUUCCACACACCAGCCGCCGAUUUCACCGAUGAAUCAAAUGGACAAACCUUCAUCAGCAACAUUUAUUGGGAUCAGAAUGGAGUCUGCUAGACGAAGCAUCCAAGCAUCCAAAUGCAGAAAUCUGCAAACAUGUCCACUAUUGAAAACAAACAGGACCUCCUGGUAAAUCUCGCAGAUUAUUACAGUGUUCUGUGAAAUACUGGUUGCCUCUGAAGGCAUAUAAUCAGUCUUGAACACGACAUUAAUCUUCUCUCCUUAAGCUCACAGAAGACGAUAAGACGUGAGCAUCAAGACUCAGGAGCUAAAAACCCCUGACCCUAAAAUAACGACCUCUGAUCCACAGCGAUUAAACUCAAAAAAAGGAGGCUGUGUUUUUCAUCUGUGAAUUGUCUUCAGAAAAUCUCGGUUCCACGCCACAUCUUUCUUCUUUGUGUAUCUCCUUUAUUUGACAGGUACAUUGGCAAUUAUAAAUGUGAGAUGAAGCACCCCAUUACAUUUCCGUGAAUUUACACAAAUACAAAAGGCUUCAAAGGAGUCGGGAAUGGGUUUGUGAAAUAUGAGACUUGGUAGUUCUGCGCGUAACAGGAUGUACCUGCUCUGCCGCCGGCUUUGUGUGUGAAAUUGAUAGAUUUAGGGAUUAGUUUAUUAUAGAUAUCCCAGAAAUGAGAUGGUAUUGGGUCCAAUAUCUUUUAGUUUGUUUCUUUAAAGAGGAUCCUGUAGAAUGGAUGUUUUGUUUCCAAACGGAAGACCCAUCUGCACACAGAAGCACGUGGCUGCCAAUGUGCACUCUGGUUUCCAUCCAAUCUCUGGAUAAAAUCCUCCAUAUCUCACGUUCUCCAUCCUGAGAUCUGUGAAUGAAAUUAUGAAUUAAAAACUGACAUGAAAAUCUUCAUCAGCUCCUCCUCUAACAGCAAAUUCACACAAACAUCGUCGCUUAUCAGUAGCAACAGUCAAGCAAUCCAGCGUUUAGAAAGGAAAUCAUGACAAAAAUGGAAAAUGACCUUAGUAAAAAAAAUUUAAAAAUGUAGUUAGAGGCUAGGAUAUACGUUUUUUUCUCUACCAAACAAAGAAAUUUGACUUUUUUUUCUUGGAUGUCAAGAACCAGAAGUUCUGUCCGGGGUAUUUCUAACAAGAAAUCCAAGUCCAAAACAUCUGUUAGGCAGAAAAACAGUUUUAACAUAAAAGCAGCACGGCUAAACAAACACAGAAGGACAUUUUUCAGCUGAAAGACGAGCAGAACAGAGGGAAAUGGAUUGGUAGUUUAUGCAAACAAUUCUUUAAAAUAAAAAAAAAUAAAUAUGUAUGUCCACUCUGGGUUUUUGACCAAAUCCAAAACACUGAUGACUGAAGAGUGACAAACCAGUCCUGUACAGGUGAUUUGUUGAGAAAUAAAGUUAUAGUUCUUUAAAGACGUAUAAUAUGAAUUAGUCUUUAAAAUUCAGGACCUAGAAAGGUGUCCGGUUCCACAAAAAAAAGAAAAAAGCAUUGAUAUAAUUCAUGUUGAUCAUUAAAUGUGGAUCAACAUACAAUUUAAUGCAUUAAUUCAUAUUAAAAACUAUCUAUAACAUUCACUCUGUAUCAAGAAAUAGCUUUAAGUUUAAACUCAACAUUACUGUUGAUAGUAUAAUUUCAUAGAGAUGCUGUCAGAGACAUUUAAAAAAUAUUUUCUGUUAUAAUAAACUGUGGAAUAACCACCUAUGUUCCAAGUUUCUGUUGUUCUGAUUAUCAACAGGAACUUUCUUUUUUUAGAUGUCCAUGACCACUUUUUAAUGGGACUCCCUUCAGCCAAUCAAAUUUGAGUAUUUAGCCUGACCAUAAUAGGAUGCUAACUAUGCAGCCAGUCAUUAAGUCUGACAUUUCUAGGAUAAAAUAUUAUUCAAGUAUCAAUAUUAAAUCAACAUGUCAUCAGCAUAGAAUUGUUUAAAAAAAAGUUGAAAACACCUUAAAAUUCAAAACUUUCAAUUACAGUUGAAAAUUUCUGACUAUAUGAGUUAAAAGGCUCUAAAUCUUUGAGCUUGAUGCCAACGUUUCUUUUUACAACCAAAGUUUGAUGAUUUUUAUUCUCGUGCAUCUCAUUGCUAAAGUCCAACUCGUUUGUUUUCUGAUGUUUGCUCUCCUAAGCGUGCUGUGCUGACUUCAUCCAGCUGGCAGACGAGAUCUUAGCCCCCAAACUGCACACGAUCCCUCAGCUCAGCUUCCGUUUAGUCUCUCUGCAGGCGUCCCGUCUUUGGCUACUGCACAAAGGUCAGCGGGAGCUUCCUUUACUCAUAAAGACGAGCCAGUUAACACAUUCAGCCAA